rnacentral:rRNA from 1 species
UACGUAGGGGCAAGCGUUGUCCGGAUUUACUGGGCGUAAAGAGCGUGUAGGCGGCCAAGCAGGUCCGUUGUGAAAACUGGAGGCUUAAACCUCCAGACGUCGACGGAAACCGCGUGGCUAGAGUCCGGAAGAGGAGAGUGGGAAAUUCCUGGUGUAGCGGUGAAAUGACGCAGAUAUCAGGAAGAACACCAAUGGCGAAGGCAGCUCUCUGGGACGGUACUGACGCUGAGACGCGAAAGCGUGGGGAGCGAACAGGGAUUAAGAUACC